GUGGGGAAUAUUGGACAAUGGGGGGAACCCUGAUCCAGCCAUGUCGCGUGUGUGAAGAAGGCCUUUUGGUUGUAAAGCACUUUAAGCGAGGAGGAGGCUACCGAGAUUAAUACUCUUGGAUAGUGGACGUUACUCGCAGAAUAAGCACCGGCUAACUCUGUGCCAGCAGCCGCGGUAAUACAGAGGGUGCAAGCGUUAAUCGGAUUUACUGGGCGUAAAGCGCGCGUAGGUGGACAAUUAAGUCAAAUGUGAAAUCCCCGAGCUUAACUUGGGAAUUGCAUUCGAUACUGGUUGGCUAGAGUAUGGGAGAGGAUGGUAGAAUUCCAGGUGUAGCGGUGAAAUGCGUAGAGAUCUGGAGGAAUACCGAUGGCGAAGGCAGCCAUCUGGCCUAAUACUGACACUGAGGUGCGAAAGCAUGGGGAGCAAACAGGAUUAGAUACCCCGGUAGUCC
rnacentral:rRNA from 1 species